GUUGGAGAUAAGCUGUGGGGUACCGGCUGGGAAAGAGGAGCGGGAAUCUGUGGAGAGGAGGAAGUUGGAGAAUGUGAUUGUAGCUGCUGAGAAAACAGUAACAGCAAGAAAAGCGUAACUACGGCGUCUGUGACAGCUAAGGAGGACCUGCUGCACUGAAAGAGCUCAUGGCGUGCUCAGUUUUAAACAGAUGAAUAAUUAGAUUCUUCUUCAGCAAUGCACCGAACCACACAUUUAGCAGUAACAUCUGCAUUGGCCAAUACACUUUAAGACGAUUUGCAUGAAGUUAGGCAAGGAAAGCACAGACUUAAAAUCCACUGAGGUUGGAGGGAGGCUGUCCAUUGAUUCCAGCAUGUGCUGAAUUAAAAAAACCUGUGGAAGUUAUGCACUCAACUUGGGAGCUUUUGCAAAUCUCACUAGGCAUCUGCCUGCACCUUUAAAUGUCAGCAGUAAAAGAAAAUGCCAUACCUGCUAGAUCUGCAUAACUCCGUAGGAAAGAAGAAAUAGCCAGCAGCUAACAUGCAACAAAAGAGCAAACACGAGGCUGGCUAGUUUGUCCCCAGUCGGCUUUGCGCUGUCGAAAUGAUCCUGAGCAUCCAGGCAACACACAUACCCAGAAGCCUUCGGUAAUAGAUAAGGGAACAAACAAGCUGUGCGCUCAGCUCUGGAGAUUAAUGAACUGAUAUAGUGGCUGCUCUGCUGUGAACAGGAGAUGUUUGCUCCAUGUACAGGUGCGGGGCUGUGGAAGUUGAGCUGUUGUAAACCAACCUUGGCUAGCUAAUUUAGUUAAAUUAGUUUCCCUACUGUCAUACUCUUAUCAGUGGGGUGCUGUAUGUCAAUCCCAUUGAGCACCUUUCUACCCAAAAUGAUCUGCUGCGGGGAGCCCUGGAAGUGUUCGAGGCCAGGCUGGAUGGGGCUUUGAGCAGCCUGGUCUCAUGGGAAGUGUCCCUGCCCAUGGCAGGGGGUUUGGAACUAGAUGAUCUUUAAGGUCCCUUCCAACCCAAACCAUUCUGUGAUUCUAAAUGUGCGCAGCCCCUCGUGGUAAGAUGUCGUGGGUAACCAGGGGUGCUAGGAAAGCAGUGGGUGUACAAACCAUGCAUAGGAAUGCAAUGCUCCACACUGCCUGUUCUGGGAGGAUGGUUGCCCCAAAGUUGGUAAUGCUGAGAAGAAAGCAACAACGAUGAAGUUUGCCUAAAAUGACCAUUUGCAGGAUUAAACAGGACACCUGGGACAUUUUUGAGAAAAGGAGGCAGGCUGCAUUGCGACAGAAACAUGAACAUUUGUAACAAGGGGGUCAGACCUCGCUGUGAGAGGCGGUACCAAAUCACCAGUCAAAUCGAAAUCAGGUUUGGCAUUGCCAUAAGUCACCCCAGCAGCACCGUGACUUGUGUCUGCACCUGAUGGAGCACUCCCCGUGUCAGAGGCUGUGAGUGUCCUGCACCCAGCUACCGGACUGAUGGUUUGGGGUGCAGCAGGUAGAGACCCGCACUUAGAGUAUGCAUAUGUGGCCUUGUGGGAUGUUUUCUUGAUUGAGUGAGGAUAAGUGGGUUGCAGGGAGCAACUUGGGCACGUAUAAUGCUUGAGCACCCAUGCUCACAGAAAAGGGCAUGGGUACCCAUAACCACGUCUUGUGAGGGAUGGUGGGGACUGCCAAGGGUGCUUAACUCUGUGCAUACAUGUGAGGGGGGGACAUGAGGUUUUAUAAGUUUCUGAGAUUAAUUCUAGGAGGUUGUUUAGAAAAUUUAAGGUGUUUACUGACAUUAUUGAAGCGUUCAGUGUUGUGGUUUAUCUGUUGUACUGCUGAUACUGAUCUUGAAUGUAUAGAUUACUCACUGCUGAUUAUUUUUGUGUUAUCAAUAAGUAAAAAUUGUUUCAUCAAAUCAUGUGAGUGGAACAGGUUUUUCCCUAUGACAACUCACCUUCUAAAUAUGAGGAUUCACAAAUAAAAUAUAAAUAAAAAUAGAAAAUAGAAAUUGGUAAGAUACAUACAAGCUGAAUUCCAUGGAAAACACCACUAACACCAUGCAGUUAACAAAAUUGCACAAGAACAAGGGAAAAAAACCAAGGAGGAAACCAGGGCAUUCUGUAAAACAAUGAUAGAAAAUCACAAUCUUAUUUCAUAUUUAUGACAAACAUAAAUGGGUAAUACAUUAAAGUCCAGUCCUAAACUUGGAACACAGAUCUCUCUCCCAUGCUCACAAAAAUAUCUGAACUAUUAACUAGUGAAAAAAGAUAAACCAGAACGGAUUCCUAGCUUUAAAUGAGUAAUUUCUGUGUGAAUAAGACUAUAGACCCCAUACUAUAAACGUUGUACAAUCUGGUUUGCACAACUUUACAACUUAUGUGUAUCUUCAAAAUAUUUUCUUGGCAUUCAAAGAACUUUCUCAGAUUUGUUUUAAAAAUAAUUCUGGUUCCUCUCUGAUAAAGUAAUUAGGGAAAACUUAAAUUUUGUUAGAUCUACCUCAGAUUAAAUUAUCACAGCUCCUUACUAAAUUAAUUAUUUAUGUACUGUACCUUGUAAAUGUAUUAAAUUAGAAGGCAGUGUAUGAGAGAACCUAUUACAUUUUUUUCUGAA